UCAUACAGUGUUAAGAGAUAUGAAUAAAGUCAAUUUGGUUUGAAGGUGGUAUAAGAUUUUUUCUAGAGGCAAUACCAACAUUGGUGAGGAGAUAUUCUAGAUGGAAAGGACAACAUGAGAAAAAACUAUUGAUAGUUGGCAAGAAAAAACUUGGUGCCUAUAGGAAGCCUCAAGCAGUGUUGCUGGACUCCAUUGUUGGAAGUAAGGUGAAUCCAGAGAUGAAAUAAAAGAGGUGGAUAGGGCCCAGGUGUUGGAGCUCCUUGCAUGCCGUGCCGUAGAAUUUGGCUUUAUGUUAGAAGCAGUGUGGAGUCAGUGAAGGAUUUUAGAGAAGCAGAGGGUCAUGGCCAGGUUUCCCCGUAUUGGAUAGAUGACUGGAUGGAGUGAGGGAAUACAUUUGCCAGGAGCCAGAGGCAGGGAGAUGAAAUAGAUAAACAGGCUCUUGCAGAACCCCAGGCGAGAGGUGAUGAAGUAGACCUUGUCUACUAGUAGAAAGGCUAGAAUUAAGAGUACAGAUAGAUUUUCUCCAGGUUUUGAGGGAAAGGGCUAUAGGUGAAAAUUGAAGAAUAUCUUCAGGUAGUGGAAGAAAUUUCAAUCAAAUUUUAUGUUUCUGCAACAGUUUUUUUAUUUGUACAAAUAUUACCCGGCAUGUAGUAUGUGCACAAUAAAUAUUUGUUGACUUGA